CGCCGUCUAAUCUCACUGCCACGUUCUUCACCAUCCCAAAGAUGGAACCGUUUACAGCCUUACAGUAUAAUAAAUGAUAGAUUUGUCCUGUUCAGUAUACAGACCACCAACCUAUUCCACUAUACAGACCACCAACCUAUUCCACUAUACAGACCACCAACCUAUUCCACUAUACAGACCAUCAACCUAUUCCACUAUACAGACCACCAACCUAUUCCACUAUACAGACCACCAACCUAUUCCACUAUACAGACCACCAACCUAUUCCACUAUACAGACCACCAACCUAUUCCACUAUACAGACCACCAACCUAUUCCACUAUACAGACCACCAACCUAUUCCACUAUACAGACCACCAACCUAUUCCACUAUACAGACCACCAACCUAUUCCACUAUACAGACCACCAACCUAUUCCACUAUACAGACCAUCAACCUAUUCCACUAUACAGACCAUCAACCUAUUCCACUAUACAGACCAUCAACCUAUUCCACUAUACAGACCACCAACCUAUUCCACUAUACAGACCAUUAACCUAUUCCACUAUACAGACCACCAACCUAUUCCACUAUACAGACCAUCAACCUAUUCCACUAUACAGACCAUCAACCUAUUCCACUAUACAGACCAUCAACCUAUUCCACUAUACAGACCACCAACCUAUUCCACUAUACAGACCAUCAACCUAUUCCACUAUACAGACCACCAACCUAUUCCACUAUACAGACCAUCAACCUAUUCCACUAUACAGACCACCAAACGAUUCCACUAUACAGACCAUCAACCUAUUCCACUAUACAGACCAUCAACCUAUUCCACUAUACAGACCACCAACCUAUUCCACUAUACAGACCACCAACCUAUUCCACUAUACAGACCACCAAACGAUUCCACUAUACAGACCAUCAACCUAUUCCACUAUACAGACCAUCAACCUAUUCCACUAUACAGACCACCAACCUAUUCCACUAUACAGACCACCAACCUAUUCCACUAUACAGACCAUCAACCUAUUCCACUAUACAGACCAUCAACCUAUUCCACUAUACAGACCACCAACCUAUUCCACUAUACAGACCACCAACCUAUUCCACUAUACAGACCACCAACCUAUUCCACUAUACAGACCAUCAACCUAUUCCACUAUACAGACCAUCAACCUAUUCCACUAUACAGACCACCAACCUAUUCCACUAUACAGACCACCAACCUAUUCCACUAUACAGACCACCAACCUAUUCCACUAUACAGACCACCAACCUAUUCCACUAUACAGACCAACCUAUUCCACUAUACAGACCACCAACCUAUUCCACUAUACAGACCAUCAACCUAUUCCACUAUACAGACCAUCAACCUAUUCCACUAUACAGACCAUCAACCUAUUCCACUAUACAGACCAUCAACCUAUUCCACUAUACAGACCAUCAACCUAUUCCACUAUACAGACCAACCUAUUCCACUAUACAGACCACCAACCUAUUCCACUAUACAGACCACCAACCUAUUCCACUAUACAGACCACCAACCUAUUCCACUAUACAGACCAUCAACCUAUUCCACUAUACAGACCAUCAACCUAUUCCACUAUACAGACCAUCAACCUAUUCCACUAUAAAGGGAAUUCAUUACUCUUCUGA
ensembl:lncRNA